ACUUGGAAGCUUCUACCUCCAGAAGUCCAGACACCUCCCCUGUACCUCUCGUACCACAGAGGACAGGUCUCCUCCAGCUGUGCCCCCACUCCCCUAAAAGCCUUGUAUUCCCCCCUGCAGGUUCCCUCUGGCCCCACCAGGAGAAGAAGAUGGCCUAUGAAAAAUCAACUGAUAUCUCUGAUGUCUCCAGGUCAAUGUUCCUGUACCCAUGGCUGGAAUAUCCAGACAAGACCAAAGAACUCAGAAAAGCCAUGGCUCCUGUUCAUCUGCCCUUGUCCUGCUACCAGAUGCCAAAGGAAGAGUUUCCCCCAAGUCCAGAGUGCUGGAGGCAGCAUCCGAGCAAGCCAAACUCAGUCCCGUACUGCUACUUCAAGAAACCUGAGAUCUACACGCACUGGCACGACCUGUAUGAUCAGCGAGAGGAAAGGGAGGCUGAGAAGAUGUUGAGGAAAAUGAGAGAUGACUGUAGGUACAUCAAAGAGGUACAUCAAACCCACAUCAAAAUGUUCCAUCUCCCAAUGAGCAAGCUGACUAUAAAAUCUGAGAUGCGAUCCAGGCCCUUAGAGCCUACCCAGGACCCCCUGAAGUGGCAAAGAUUAAGGGAACUCACAAAAAGCCUGGAAUCUCCCAGAGAGGAUGAGCAGUUCUAUGCAGCACAGGCUCUGGGAUGCUUACGCAUCAGUGACAAGUUUGUCAUGGAGGCACUACAGCAGGUGGCCCAAACUGGUCCAGAGAAAGUGAAGUACGAGGCCUACCGAACCCUGGCCAUCCUGGGUUGCCUGAAUAAGCAUGUGAUCCGGGCUCUCAUCAAACAGCUGAAGGAGAAAAAUGAGGGUCAAAGGAUGGAGACUUUGACGGGGCUACGAAUGGCUCUUAACUCCUGGGCUGCUGUCUCUAAAGACAAGGUGAUUGGGAGGACAGUCUUUAAUUGGGGGCAAAGCUGGACAAGAGGACUCAAGUCGGGGAUGAGGGCAAGCUGGUGCCUGUACUACAGACACUGAUCAAGAAGUCGUCCAGUGAAGCAUCUCUGGAGGCAGCCCUGUGCCUGGGUUUCCUGAGGCCUUGCAGCAACAUGGUCCAAGAGUUCUUGUUGCAGUGCCUGUGCCAAGGACUCAAGACCCAGCGGAUGAAGGCACUUAGGAUGCUGGUCAAGGUGAUGCACGUGCACUCAGCCCCAGUCAUCAAGGCCAUCCUAGACCAGCUGUGUUCUUCCAGUGUCCUUGAGGACCGCUUUGAAGCCACCCAAAUGCUCAAGACCAUUGGGCUGGAACAGAUCCAGGCACAGGGGCUAGAGGAACUCACAUUUAACCUGCUCAGGAGGAAGACGCAUAAUGAACCCUUCCUUGCUGUGAGGCAGGCUGUGGCUCAAACUGUGGAAGAGCUCAAGUUGAAGCCUACGAUGAUGAACUUGGUGGAGGCACAACUGAUGAACCCAGAUGCCACUGCACGCCAGGAAGCAGUCAUCUCUUUGGGUGUCCUGGGGAUCCGCAGUCCACAAGUGUUCCACUUGCUCCUGGACUUACUAGAUGCAGAAAACCACCAGGCUGUGAAGAAGAGUCUACAAGAAACAUUAAUCCUUUGUGCCUCAAUUGAUCCCUGGAUCCAAAACAAGCUGAAAAACAAGGUUCUCUCUGUAUAUGAGGCACCUAAGACCAAUGUGAAGGCAGAGCCCACAAGGUUCCAGAAAGAGCCUGAGAACCCAGAAGAGUUAACUAUUCAAGACUUUCGACUUGCAAAGCUGAACCCCUUGUUUAUUGCAAAGUCCAUCACCAAAGUAGGCCAAAAGAAAACGCCUGCUUUCCCACCGUGCUGCUCGAAACCACGAAAACAUAGGCCACAGGUCAUAGGGCCCUGGCAGCCAAGGAUCAAGAAACAGCUCCGGGUCCUUGCUGAAAUUGCCAAAUAAGUCAAUUCUUUGGGCCUACUCCCCGACUCCCUCCCUGAAGAUGCUUCUCAGGCUCCCAUGAGAAAACAAUCUAUACUUAUCUUCCGUGAAUAAACAAGUGUCACUCUA